rnacentral:lncRNA from 1 species
CUGAGUGUUUGUAGGAUUUGUUCUUACCUACGCAUAAAUCCAGGAUAAGAAGAAAUUGGUGAAUGCCACAAUCUUCGUAAAAUGUUCGUAAGUGGGACUUAAGAACAAAUUUGUUCGUAAGAACGUUUCGUGAAUCUGGCCCAGGCUGAGCGGAGCAGCUUCCAGACUCUCCCCCGUCGGGCGAUUGACACACACCUGUAAAUGAUCUCCAGCCAAUCAUCCACACCUGCUGUUCGCUUUAAAAGCCUGUUCAACUCUCCAAUCAUCGCCAAUUCGUUGUUAACCCCCCCAUGGUACAGCCUGGAUUCUCAAACGCCGUAUGCAAGUUUGUGUUUUCGUUCCUGUUUUCCAGUUUGGAACUGAUUGUUCGUCUCUCCCGCAGAUCGCCUUUCGGACGCCUGUUCGCGCUGCCCAGCCUGCUCCAGCUUGACCAUGUUUGUCUGCUUUCAGCACCACUUAGUUUUGCUCUGAACCAGAUUUUCACUGCAGCAGAAAAGGCCAAAAGACCUGUGAAACAGAGCCGGCCAGCUUCUGCACACAAGUAUGUCAGACGCACCACUCCAUCGUUGAUGGCAAGAUCGCUGUCUGAACCACACAUCGAGGUGACUCUUUGCUCCAUAUCCUGGGGACGCCACACUAAAGUGUGCCAAUACGAAAACGUACACUAACAUGCUGGUUAUAUUCAAGGUUCCGGUAGCGGCUCCCGAGAGGACAACCGCCGUGAUGGAUGCAGCGCCUCAGCCCUGUCGGCCCACAGCAACAUCGGCAGCACAACCGGAGGUAAUCCGUUGAAAACAAGCUCAAGUUUGAGUAUUCCGUGACUAUAUGUCGGAUAUAAUCGUGUGUUUUCUUAUUAGGUGACAUACGAGCGAUGGCACCAAAUGUGGGAGUCUGCUCCCAAUGGGCUGAUGUUGCAUGGCUGAAAGAGAAUGAAACCAAUGGACUCUUCCAGAGGGCUGCAUCCUUUCAGGACAAACAUGAAAAGAUGAAGUGGAGGAAGGUCCUGAAGGAUGACAGGAUGUGGUUUCAUCCUGUGGUUUCAGACAUACUGUCCAAACAGCAAAAAGUCAUCUCCAGGACUUGAAGGCCAGACUUUUGACACUUUUGCAGACUUUCAAAGGGCUGUGGACAUUCUUUUGGGACCUAAUUUCCAGGUGUAAGCAAAGAAAAUUGGAGUGUUUUAUUGACUGCACUUGACAAUAAAUGCUUCUUUGAAU